GCAGCGGUGAUUCAGUGGUAGAGUUCUACCCUUCCACGCAGGAGACCUGGGUUCGAUUCCCAGCCAAGGCA
rnacentral:tRNA from 1 species